AAAUAGAUGCAUUAUAUGGUUCCUGAAUUGCUUCAUAUGGUUAACUGAUUUUUUUGGCAAACAGAAUAUUUAAAUGCCAUCAUUUCAUUGAGGAAUGCGACUGGGACUCAAUGCAAAUGAGAUGGAGAAGGGGCCUAGCAGCACAUGUCCCAAUGUUGUGUGCUUGUGGGAGACUAAGGUUGUUGAUAUUGCACCAAAAAUCAGGCCGGUCUACUUAUCAGGCUCACGGGAUUGACCACCUAGUGAUUUCUACACGAGACUACCUCUUUGCUCCUUCAUUUGUGGAUAUUAGCAAAGCCAUGAACUUCAUUCAUAGCAAUGGAACUCCCCAUGCUCCGUCCAGAGAAAUUUGUGAAGCUUGGCAAUGAUCCUCCGAAGGGGGUGCUCUGCUAUGGUCCUCCAGGAACAGGAAAAAGUUUACUAGCUAGAGAUGUAGCCAACAAAAUUGAUGCCUGCUUUACUUGUGUUAUUGGAAAUGAGCUUGUUCAAAAAUAUGUUGAGAGGGAGCCCAGAUGGUUCGUGAGCUUUCGUAGGUUGCUACUAUGACAUUUAAUGAAUUUAUUUAACAGAGAUUAGAAGGUUUUCUUACUGUUAGUUCUAUUCAGAUUCUCUGCUAGUUCAUUUUGGCUG